rnacentral:rRNA from 1 species
UACGGAGGAUGCAAGCGUUAUCCGGAUUAUUGGGUUUAAAGGGUGCGCAGGUUGUUUGAUAAGUCAGUGGUGAAAGUCUGUCGCUUAACGGUAGGAUUGCCAUUGAUACUGUUAGACUUGAAUAUGGAUGAGGUAGGCGGAAUGUGUAGUGUAGCGGUGAAACGCAUAGAUAUUACACAGAACACCGAUUGCGAAGGCAGCUUACUAAUCCAUCAUUGACGCUGAGGCACGAAAGCGUGGGGAUCAAACAGGA